UUCAACAAGUAAUUAUAUCUUAAUCUAUUAUAAUUUCAACAUAAUAAGACGAAAAUCUUGAACAGUUUGAACGGACUUUUUCGAAACAUCAAUUAUGAUAAAAAACCUAACAAAAAAACUGACGAUUUAAUUGACUGCUUAAAACAAGAAGCUAAUAAAUGGGCAUGUAUUCUCGGUGCGUCAAAUUGCAUGAAAACAGCCGAAAUCAAAUUGCAUCAAUAUCUCACGAAAACUAAAAAAAACAGACUUUUACCUUGGUGGAGAGAUUGGACGUUCUGUAACGAUUUAAUGAGAGCUAGCAGUAGUAUUUGGAACAAAGUAUGGAAUAUACAUAUUAAGAAUCCUAACGUAAUCACUUCGAAAUCCCUUGCUUGUUCCCGUGAUUCUGUUGU